GGCGGACGGGUGAGUAACGACGUGAACAAUCUGUCUCACACAGGGGAAGUAACGCAUCGAAAGAUGUGCUAAUACCGCAUAGGACCACGGAGUCGCAUGGCGCUGAGGUGAAAGGAGCAAUCCGGUGUGAGGUGAGUUCGCGUCUGAUUAGAUAGUUGGUGAGGUAACGGCCCACCAAGUCAACGAUCAGUAGCCGACCUGAGAGGGUGAUCGGCCACAUUGGGACUGAGACACGGCCCAGACUCCUACGGGAGGCAGCAGUGGGGAAUAUUGGGCAAUGGGCGAAAGCCUGACCCAGCAACGCCGCGUGAAGGAAGAAGGUUUUCGGAUCGUAAACUUCUGUCCUUGGUGAAGAGAAGGAGACGGUAGCCAAGGAGGAAGCCCCGGCUAACUACGUGCCAGCAGCUGC
rnacentral:rRNA from 1 species